GAUCAUGGCUCAGGAUGAACGCUGGCGGCGUGCUUAACACAUGCAAGUCGAGCGAAGCACUUUACUUGGAUUUCUUCGGAAUGACGAGUAUUGUGACUGAGCGGCGGACGGGUGAGUAACGCGUGGUAACCGUGCCUCAUACAGGGGGAUAACAGUUAGAAAUGACUGCUAAUACCGCAUAAGACCACAGCACCGCAUGGUGCAGGGGUAAAAACUCCGGUGGU
rnacentral:rRNA from 1 species